UACGUAGGGGGCAAGCGUUGUCCGGAUUCAUUGGGCGUAAAGAGCGUGUAGGCGGCCAGGUAGGUCGGUUGUGAAAACUGGAGGCUCAACCUUCAGACGUCGACCGAAACCAUCUGGCUAGAGUCCGGGAGAGGAGAGUGGAAUUCCGUGGUGUAGCGGUGAAAUGCGCAGAUAUCAGGAAGAACACCCGUGGCGAAAGCGGCUCUCUGGAACGGUACUGACGCUGAGACGCGAAAGCGUGGGGAGCGAACAGG
rnacentral:rRNA from 1 species